GACGAACGCUGGCGGCGCGCUUAACACAUGCAAGUCGAACGGAAAGGCCUGCUUUCCCUUGUGGAUUGCGGGUACUCGAGUGGCGAACGGGUGAGUAACACGUGAGUGAUCUGCCCCCAACUUGGGUAUAAGCCUGGGAAACUGGGUCUAAUUCCCGAUAGGACUGCAGGGUGGUGCCUGUGGUGGAAAACGAUUUUCUAGUGGUUGGGGAUGAGCUCGCGGCCUAUCAGCUUGUUGGUGGGGUAAUGGCCUACCAAGGCGGCGACGGGUAGCCGGCCUGGGGGGGUGGACGGCCACAUUGGGACUGAGAUACGGCCCAGAAUCCUACGGGAGGCAGCAGUGGGGAAUAUUGCACAAUGGGCGGAAGCCUGAUGCAGCGACGCCGCGUGGGGGAUGACGGCCUUCGGGUUGUAAACUCCUUUCGACCGCGAGGAAGCCACCUGGUUGGAAGGGUGGUGACGGUAGUGGUAGAAGAAGCACCGGCUAACUACGUG
rnacentral:rRNA from 1 species